rnacentral:sRNA from 1 species
ACCCUACGGGGAAGGAUGAGAAGCUUCGACCAAGGUUCGACUCGAGCGACAGCGAGAGAACGUUGCCACAGGCAACGGCCCGAAGGGCGAGGCGCUUUAGCGCCGAGUCAUCCUUCCCCCACCACCA